AGAAAAAAGGAUGGAGAGAGGAGCGCGCGACAGAGAGAGCCGGAGACCGCCGAGCCGCUGCGCGGGCGGGACGGCGGGGAAGUCGAGGAAGGAGCGCGGCCCCUCUCACCUGGCGUCCGCGGCGGCCGCCCCCCGGGCUGGACCGGGUGAUUUAAGGGGCGCCCUGGGGGCGGGCCCGCUCCCCCCUACCGCCUUAUCU